UACGUAGGGGGCAAGCGUUGUCCGGAAUCAUUGGGCGUAAAGCGCGUGUAGGCGGUUCGGUAAGUCUGCUGUGAAAGUCCAGGGCUCAACCCUGGGAUGCCGGUGGAUACUGUCGGACUAGAGUACGGAAGAGGCGAGUGGAAUUCCCGGUGUAGCGGUGAAAUGCGCAGAUAUCGGGAGGAACACCAAUUGCGAAGGCAGCCCCCUGGGUCAAAACUGACGCUCAUGCACGAAAGCGUGGGGAGCAAACAGG
rnacentral:rRNA from 1 species